CCACGAACAUUUUCAAGACUGAGCGGUGAAUCCAGGAAGUGGAGGAAACAUUCACAAAGCAUUGCCGAAGAAGGGUUGAUGCUCCAGAGCGUGUUCUAACUCAGCGAUCCAACGGAAAGGCAGGCGGCAAACGGGCUUUUCUCCAAAGGAGACACCCGCGGCAGGAAAAGUGUGAUCACGGAAGAAAAAGAACAAAUCCCCCUG
rnacentral:lncRNA from 1 species